AACACGAGUUGGAAAUCAAUGUUGGUAAGAAAAGACGAGUACAUGAAUCUGAUAUGAAUAGCUUGGUUUACCUCAAAGCCAUUAUCAAGGAAACGCUGCGUUUAUACCCUGCUGCACCGCUUUCUUUGCCGCAUGAAUCCAUGGAGGACUGCACUGUAGCUGGCUACCAUAUUCCAGCAGGCACAAGACUACUUAUUAAUCUUAGCAAGAUUCAUCGUGAUCCAAGGGUGUGGUCCAAACCUUCUGAAUUCCAACCCGAACGAUUUCUUACGAUUCACAAAGAUUAUGAUGUUAGGGGACAAAACUUUGAACUUAUACCGUUUGGCAGUGGAAGAAGGAUAUGCCCUGGUGUCUCUUUUGCGCUUCAUGUUUUGCAAUUAACUCUAGCUACGUUGCUACAGGGGUUUGAUUUUGCAAAUCCAACAAGCAAGCCGUUUGAUAUGAGUGAGAGCAAUGGAUUAACCAGCUUAAGAGCAACCCCACUUGAAUGCCUCCUUAGUCCUCGCCUUCAAUCUCAUCUCUAUCAAU
rnacentral:misc_RNA from 1 species